rnacentral:sRNA from 1 species
AGUUUGUUUACAAACUGCAUACAAUAAUGCGACGUUUGCCGAAAGGCAAACUCGGCAGAUAAACAGAGAGGCACCAUUUGUGCCGAACUGUUUAUCACAC